AAAUUCAAUCUACCCAUUUUUCUUCUAUUUACAAAAUCAUCCUUCAUUAUUUAUUAUCAGAUCCUUUUGUGUCACAAACACUAAAAUACCAAUCCCUCCUAAUCAAAAAGAUAUAGCUGCCCCAUCUUCAUCACUCUUAUUUUUUUCUCGCAACACUAACAUAAUAAUUGACAUUUAAAAAAUAAUACUGAAGAGAAGCUAUAUGAGAUGUCACCGUCAAUGGAUCAUGGAGAGAAUCAACGACCAUAAAUUGGAAAAUAAGCUAGGACUUUUCAUCACGAAAGGCUUUAAACUGAAUAUGAACUUCCAAUUGUGAAGUGUGUUAUGGAUAACUCUGAAAUUAAGGGGAAUAAUAGUAUAAUACUACAAGCAGAUGAUAAAGAUAUCAAACAUGCCAGAUCCAAAUUACAAUGAGCAAGUGAAUCAAGCAAUAUGUUCAUGACGAGCUCAAUUAUGAAAGGAAAGCUUUGAAAAAAGAACAUGGCCGCCUAUUCAGAUUAUUGACAGAUGAACAAAGAAAAGUGUAUGAAACCAUAAUUUAUAUUCGAAAUUUAUCUGUAAUAAUUUUGAGUGCAAAUAUUUGUUGCUACAAUGAGAGCUGUACAAGGUCCGCAUAAACUAGCCUGGAAUGUUCAGAUUAUAUUGAUAUUUA